CUCUAGAACUUUUCACUAGUGGGGAGCAACAAAACAUAUUAGAACUAACAAACUUACAAUGGACAUUUAAUAGUGGUUUUCCUUUCUAUUCUAUUUUUUAAAAUGUAAAUGGAGUAAAUGAUAAAAUGUAGACUGAAUUUAUCAUAAAGACAUUUUCUUUUGGUAUACUGCAAGGAACUAUGAACUUUUAGUAACUACUAUAAGCAACUGACAGGAAAAAAUGGCAACAGAAGAAGGAAAGAGGAGAGAAUGGGGAGCAGACACUAAGGUGUAGUGAAAGGAGGAAAAUGAAGGCUAAGUCUAAUGAUGUGAAUCCUCUUUGCAAUUCCAUCAAAGGAGGGAUCUUCCUACUGACCAGAAGACCUGAACAGCCUGAGAAUGAUUCCUUUCAACUCCGAGAGAAGAAGCUGCAGAUGAAGAGCAAGUAGGAUGGUGAAGUGCUUAAUCAGUGGCCAGGCAAUCAAUAAACACAACAGUCCUGGGAUACAUGUGCAGAAUGUGCAGAAUGUGUACAUA
rnacentral:lncRNA from 10 species